GGCCAUCUCUACAACACUCUUCAGAGCAAGGGAAUCCACACUUUCAUUGAUGAUGAGGAGCUUCCAAGAGGGGAGGAAAUAACACCAGCACUUAUGAAGGCAAUUCAAGAUUCCAGAGUUGCCAUCACUGUGCUCUCUGAACACUAUGCUUCUGUUAGCAUAUCAGAGGCAACAAGCAUGGCAUCAGGAAACAAAGACGUGAAGCAGAAGAAAGUACAGGAGGUGCAGAUAGCAAAGAAGCCCAAAAGAAAGGUUAGAAGGCCAGCUUACUUGAAGGACUACGCGUAAGGGUAAAUUGGGAAGCAUCAUCAGCCCAGAAAUCACCAUACACUGCUUGAUUGUAGCUUGUUCCCCAUAGUUAGACAAAGAUAACCGUAUAGAAUAUUCUGUAGGCAGAAGAGUACAAAUUCUGUUAUUAGAAACUCUUAUAUAUAUAUCCAUGUAAUAAUCAAUCAGGCAUAUAUGAAUACAACUUUUCCUUGCAUAAAGACAAGAAAAUAUAUUGAUUAAGUUAAACAUAUUAUGAUGAUGUUUUUUUUUCCAGGUACCAAAAAAGAAGAUAGUUUUAGCUUUGCAAUCAAAAGUCUUACAUUUAUUUAGUAUUGGAAUUGAUUGAUAUUCUUAGGUGGAGGAACUUGUUUAUGGACGGUGGUGGCAGAUAAGGAUCUAAAAACCAAGUGUAACAGCAUAUUUAUUUGAUAUUGGAUGAUAUUUUUCAUUCGAG
rnacentral:lncRNA from 1 species